ACAAAUCACAACAGGGUGGGGUGUCAACACCAAGCCUCCGUACAGUAAGACAGCCUACACAUGAAGCCACGGUCAACAAGCAGCUUGAAGCUGUAGAGGUCACACUGCCUGAAGGAAGGUCACGGCGAGCAGCGUCUAUUUGGCUUGUAAGAACUCGGUGCUCUGAUUCGGGGCUUUUCAGACCAAUGAGGACACUCAGUAAUAUGACUAUAUUUGCGACUAAAGUCCUUCAGUUAUAUAAUGGAAAUGUCCCCAAUGGGUUUUUCCUGAGACUAUAUCACAAAGUUUUGAUUCUUUUCAUCCAAGUGGUUGGGCAUCAUUACAAGUCUGCUCUUUACAAGGUUCUAAACAAACUAUCAGGACCAAGUCCCUUCUCGCAAAGUCCUCAAUCAGGUUGAGGUCUGGACUUUGACUAGGCCACUGCAUUACUUUAUUCUUUUCAGUCAAUCUGCUGUGUUUAGCAUCUCUAGCUCUAGAAAGGUAUUCAUGUCUGGCCUGGUGGCUGAGGAGCAUCAACUCAGGACUGCUAACCUCCUAAAUCCUUUGGAGGCAAAACAAGUCCAGAUCAUCACUGCUCUGCUUCUAUGCUUAACAUCUGGU